rnacentral:rRNA from 1 species
AUUGAACGCUGGCGGCAUGCCUUACACAUGCAAGUCGAACGGCAGCAUGAUCUAGCUUGCUAGAUUGAUGGCGAGGUAGGGCGGAACGGGUAGAGUAAUACAUCGGAACGUGCCCUGUAGUGGGGGAUAACUAGUCGAAAGAUUAGCUAAUACCGCAUACGACCUGAGGGUGAAAGUGGGGGACCGCAAGGCCUCAUGCUAUAGGAGCGGCCGAUGUCUGAUUAGCUAGUUGGUGGGGUAAAGGCCCACCAAGGCGACGAUCAGUAGCUGGUCUGAGAGGACGAUCAGCCACACUGGGACUGAGACACGGCCCAGACUCCUACGGGAGGCAGCAGUGGGGAAUUUUGGACAAUGGGCGAAAGCCUGAUCCAGCAAUGCCG